rnacentral:ncRNA from 1 species
UUUUGUAAAGGGCAAACUCGUGGGAAACCCGAGGACGCAAAGCAAAAGGGGCUUCUUCCAGCAAUGGGUGAUGCCAGCCUGGCCGCCAAA